rnacentral:rRNA from 1 species
GACGAACGCUGGCGGCGUGCUUAACACAUGCAAGUCGAGCGGUAAGGCCCUUUUGGGGGGUACACGAGCGGCGAACGGGUGAGUAACACGUGGGUGACCUGCCCUCAGCUCUGGGAUAAGCCUGGGAAACUGGGUCUAAUACUGGAUAUGACCUUUCCUCGCGAUGGGGGUUGGGUUGGAAAGUUUUUCGGCUGGGGAUGGGCCCGCGGCCUGUCAGCUUGUUGGUGGGGUGAUGGCCUACCAAGGCGACGACGGGUAGCCGGCCUGAGAGGGCGACCGGCCACACUGGGACUGAGACACGGCCCAGACUCCUACGGGAGGCAGCAGUGGGGGAAUAUUGCGCAAUGGGCGGAAGCCUGACGCAGCGACGCCGCGUGGGGAUG